rnacentral:rRNA from 1 species
AGAGUUUGAUCCUGGCUCAGGAUGAACGCUGACAGAAUGCUUAACACAUGCAAGUCUUUGGCGAAGCUGUGCUUGCACAGCCUAGCCAAGGCGGACGGGUGAGUAACGCGUAAGGGACUUGCCCUGCAGUCAGGGAUAACAGACGGAAACGACUGAUAAAACCUGGUAAAGUCAGGCGGACUCAUGUCCAGCCUGAUGAAAAGGAAUGCUGCAGGAGAGCCUUGCGUCCUAUUAGCUUGUUGGUGGGGUAACGGCCCACCAAGGCGAUGAUAGGUAGCCGGCCUGAGAGGGUGAACGGCCACAAGGGGACUGAGAUACGGCCCUUACUCCUACGGGAGGCAGCAGUGGGGAAUAUUGGACAAUGGACCGAGAGUCUGAUCCAGCAAUUCUGUGUGCACGAUGAAGUUUUUCGGAAUGUAAAGUGCUUUCAGUUGGGAAGAAAGAAAUGACGGUACCAACAGAAGAAGUGACGGCUAAAUACGUGCCAGCAGCCGCGGUAAUACGUAUGUCACGAGCGUUAUCCGGAUUUAUUGGGCGUAAAGCGCGUCUAGGUGGUUAUAUAAGUCUGAUGUGAAAAUGCAGGGCUCAACUCUGUAUUGCGUUGGAAACUGUAUAACUAGAGUACUGGAGAGGUAAGCGGAACUACAAGUGUAGAGGUGAAAUUCGUAGAUAUUUGUAGGAAUGCCGAUGGGGAAGCCAGCUUACUGGACAGAUACUGACGCUGAAGCGCGAAAGCGUGGGUAGCAAACAGGAUUAGAUACCCUGGUAGUCCACGCCGUAAACG